GAGAGCGGUCCUCGGACCGUGACUCAGCGAAAACAGACCUCGGGACCGUGACUCAGCGAAAACAGACCUCGGGACCGUGACUCAGCGAAAACAGACCAGCGAUCGGGACUCCGCGCCGAGUCUGCCGGCGUGACUCAGCAGGAAAGGGCGGCCGGGGUGCGGGGGAGUCGGUUCCUCCGCGGGAGGCCGUCAGCGCCCCGACCCCUGCCCCCGGACCCCCGCUGAGCUUAGCAGCCGCCAGCGCCCGCGGGGCCGGGCCUCGGGGAGCGCGGGAGUGGCAGGUACGCGGGCUACCUGAGCAGGUGACCUGGAGCAGCUCAGCCGACGCUUGGCUGCCUCAGUGUCCCCGUCUUCAAACUGAGGGGCAGAGAGAAGAAGCUCCCUUCACUGGAAGGCAUUCCGUGGGUUAAAUACGACUUUUGCCACUGGGGCUCAGAGUGGGGGCAGUUUGCUUUUGUUUGAGUGACAGCCGGGAGGAAGGACCACCCCAGCACUCUGCAGGAUGGUGUGCUGUUUGGCUGCAAGUGAAGGCACUGAGGGGUCUGGGACUCACCCCCUAAGGUGCCUGCAGCAGCCCCCUCUUGCCCGGAGCUCAGCUUCAGUGCUCUGAUUUCCUGAAAAGCCCUCCUCAUGCCCCUGUGGAGUUUGGGGUGAAGCUCCAGGGAGCCUGAGGGUCUGUUAUAGGCAGAACUGUGUCCCCAAAUUCACCUGUAGAAGCCCUAACCCCCAGUACCUUCCAACGUGAUUGUAUUUGCAGAUGAGCCUUUACAGAGGGGAUGAAGUUACAACCAUGCUCUUCGGAUGGGCCCCGAUGCGGUCGAACGGGUGUCCUUCUAGAAGAAAGACACCUGGGCGCAUGCACAGAGGGAGAACCUGUGAGGACACACCAGGAAAGCUGUUGGCAAGCCAAGGAGAGGCCGCGGAAGAAACCACACCUGCUGACAUCUAGACCUUCGGCCUUCAGAAGUGUGAGAAGAUCAGCUUGUGAUUGUUUGAGCCACCCAGUCUGUGGCGCGGCGUCACGGCCCGUGGCUGGCACACUGACACCGGGCCCGAGACUCAAGACCGGAAGGGGCCCCGGAAGAGCAGGCUCGUUCAACUCUCCUUCCUCUCCUCUCCUCUCUCCCUUUUUAUUUUGAAAAAAUGCCAGACCUACUAAAAAGCUGACACAAACAGCACACUGCACGGCAGUACACCCUUCCCUUGGGUCCCACCUUGUCGGGAAUUGGCUGCUUUUGUGUCUCUCUCUCCUUUUCUCUUCUUUUAUUAUUUUCCAGAACCAUCUGCGAGUACGUUGUGGACAUCCUGCCACUUCACCUGUAGGAGCAAGGACACACAUCUGCAUUGUUACCAUCAUAGUAAAGACAAUGCUGACACCCUAACGUCCUUUACUGUCAGCCCACACUCACACUUUCCCAGGGAGCCCCCAAAACAGUCCUUGGGGAGGACCCCCAGAAUCUAGUCAAGGUUCAUGCCCUCCUCUUUUGCUGUCGCGUGUUAGGUCUCUCGUGGCAUUGACUCUGGAAGAAUUGUUUGGAGGAGACAGGUCAGUUGCCUUGAAAAUGUGCCAUGUUUUGGAUUUGUCUUUUUCCCUCAUGGUUAGAUUCUGGAGGAACGUUCCUGGACAGAGUACUAUAUGGUCAUGUUGCGUCUCCUCAUCGGGUAGAACCAAGGAAACUGAAACCCAGCUAGUCAGUGGCGGAGUUUAGAUGCAUUUCAGUACCAGAUUAUAUUUUUAAAGAUUUUAUUCAUUUAUUUGAGAGAGAGAGAGAGAGAGAGAGAGAGAGAGCAAGCGGGGUGGGGAGGGGCACAGGGAGAGGGAGAAAUAGACUCCCUGCUGAGC